GUUGUGAAAAAUGUCCACUCUCUCUUUCUACUGAUUGACACUGGUUUCAUGUCUCCGUCUCACUGCUGUAGAAAGUUAUUACAAAAAGAAAGUCAAUUUUGGACAUGCAAUUCCCUUUUCUACCAGUAGGGGUAAAAAGAAAGGUUGUGAAAGAUGUCCACUGUCCCUCUCUAUUGAUUGACACUGGUUUCAUGUCUCUGUCUCACUGCUUUAGAAAGUUAUUAGAAAAAGGUAAAUUUUAGACAUGCAGUUCCCUAAUCAGCCACUUGGGGUAAAAUGAAAGGUUGUGAAAAAUGUCCACUCUGUCUCUCUACUGAUUGACACUGGUUUCAUGUCUCUGUCUCCCUGCUGUAGAAAGUUAUUACAAAAAGGAGGCUAAUUUUGGACAUGCAAUUCCCUUUUUUACCAGUAGGGGUAAAAAGAAAGGUUGUGAAAAAUGUCCACUUUCCCCCUCUAUUGAUUGACACUGGUUUCAUGUCUCUGUCUCACUGCUGUAAAAAAAUUAUUACAAAAAGAAUGAUAAUUUUGGACAUGCAGUUCCCUAAUCAGCCACUUGGGGUAAAAUGAAAGGUUGUGAAAAAUGUCCACUCUCUCCCUCUAUUGAUUGACACUGGUUUCAUGUCUCUGUCUCCCUGCUGUAGAAAGUUAUUACAAAAAGAAGGUUCGUUUUGGACAUGCAGUUCCCUAAUCAGCCACUUGGGGUAAAAUGAAAGGUUGUGAAAAAUGUCCACUCUCUCUUUCUACUGAUUGACACUGGUUUCAUGUCUCCGUCUCACUGCUGUAGAAAGUUAUUACAAAAAGAAAGUCAAUUUUGGACAUGCAAUUCCCUUUUCUACCAGUGGGGGUAAAAAGAAAGGUUGUGAAAGAUGUCCACUGUCCCUCUCUAUUGAUUGACACUGGUUUCAUGUCUCUGUCUCACUGCUUUAGAAAGUUAUUAGAAAAAGGUAAAUUUUAGACAUGCAGUUCCCUAAUCAGCCACUUGGGGUAAAAUGAAAGGUUGUGAAAAAUGUCCACUCUGUCUCUCUACUGACUGACACUGGUUUCAUGUCUCUGUCUCCCUGCUGUAGAAAGUUAUUACAAAAAGGAGGCUAAUUUUGGACAUGCAAUUCCCUUUUUUACCAGUAGGGGUAAAAAGAAAGGUUGUGAAAAAUGUCCACUGUCCCCUUCUAUUGAUUGACAGUGGUUUCAUGUCUCUGUCUCCCUGCUGUACAAAGUUAUUACAAAAAGAAGGUUAAUUUUGGACAUGCAAUUCCCUUUUCUACCAGUAGGGGUAAAAUUCAGGGUUGUGAAAAAUGUCCACUCUCUCCCUCUACUGAUUGACACUGGUUUCAUG